GCACGGCUCGCACCAGGAUCAUAAUAUUCGAAACCAUGCCCUUGGGGUGGUAUCCGUCCGCCCCUUGAAUCAUGCGAUCUCAGUGGGCAGUAGGAUAACCUGUUUCCUUUUCACUGAACUGUAGUUUCUUAAAGUAAAGCAUGUGUCCUUUGUGGUAGCUGGCGAUCAAGGCAGUCUAGUCCACGAGGCCAACGUAUGAGCGAGUAUUUGUUGUGCUGUCCCCAUCCAAGCCUAGGAUGCACCCAUAUAAAUACCGUACGGUAAUAAUGCAACAACCAUACCGUCUC
rnacentral:lncRNA from 1 species